rnacentral:rRNA from 1 species
UACGUAGGGGGCAAGCGUUGUCCGGAAUCAUUGGGCGUAAAGCGCGUGUAGGCGGCCCGAUAAGUCCGCCGUGAAAGUCCAGGGCUCAACCCUGGGAUGCCGGUGGAAACUGUCGGGCUAGAGUCCGGAAGAGGCGAGUGGAAUUCCUGGUGUAGCGGUGAAAUGCGCAGAUAUCAGGAGGAACACCAAUGGCGAAGGCAGCUCGCUGGGACGGUACUGACGCUGAGACGCGAAAGCGUGGGGAG